rnacentral:rRNA from 1 species
CAGUAGCCGCGGGAAUACGAGGGGGGCAAGCGUUGUUCGGAAUUAUUGGGCGUAAAGGGCGCGUAGGCGGUUUGGCAAGUUUGGUGUGAAAUCUUCGGGCUCAACUCGAAGUCUGCAUCGAAAACUGCCGGGCUUGAGUAUGGGAGAGGUGAGUGGAAUUUCCGGUGUAGCGGUGAAAUGCGUAGAUAUCGGAAGGAACACCUGUGGCGAAAGCGGCUCACUGGACCAUUACUGACGCUGAGGCGCGAAAGCUAGGGGAGCAAACAGGAUUAGAUACCCGGGUAGUCCCUGUCUCUUAUAC